UAAAAUUUAUAUGAAAUUGCAAGGGAUCUGGAAUGCCUAAACAAUCUUGUAAGAGAAAAACAAAUUAAGAAGACUCAAAUUUUCUGAUUUCAAGACUUACUACAAAGCAAUGGCACUUACAUGAGUAUAGAUAUACAGGUCAAUGGAGUAGAAUUGAGAAGUCAGAAAUAAAACCAAGUGUCUAUGGUCAACUGAUUUUCCACAAGGGUGCCAAGACCAUUCAAAGGGGAAAGCAUUUUUUCAACCAAUGGUGCUGGGGCAACUGGGUAUUUACCUGCAAAAGAAUAAAGUUUAAUCCUUAUAGAUAAAAUUAACUAAAAUGUAUCAAAGAUUUAAAUGUAAGAAACUAAAACUGUAAAACUCUUGGAAGAAGAAAACAUAGGACCAUAUCUUUAUGAUCUUGGAUUUGGCAAAGGAUUCUUAUCUAUGUCACCAAGAGUGUGAGCAAAGAAGAAAAAAAAGAUAAAUUGGAUGUCAUCAAAAUUAAAAACUACUGUGCAAGACACUAUCAAAAAAGUAAAACGACAACCCUUAGAAUGAGAGAAAAUGUAAGUCAUAUAUCUGAUAUGGGACUUGUGUCUGGAAUACAUAAAGAACUCAUACAACUCAAUAAGAAAAGACAAAUGACCCAAGGAUGGUAUACAGAUGGGCAGUAAGUACAUAAAAAGAUGCUCAGUGUCAUUAGUUAUCAGGGAAAUGCAAAUCAAAACCAUAGUGAGAUCAAUACCAGUUCACACACUGUAGGAUGGUCAAUCCAAGUCACAUAAUAACAAGUGUUGGUGAAGAAGUGGAGAAAUCAGAACCCUCAUAGGCUACUGCUAGCAUUGGAAAACGGCACAGCCACUUUGGAAAACAGUGUGGCAGGGCUUUUGUAUCUGCCAACCUCCUGUUUUUGAACUAAAUGAAGGGGUUCUGGCCUGGGAAGACCCAUGUGUUCCUUCAGUUGGAUGGGGAAUGAGGACAGUGACUCUGGCGAUCUUGAGAGUAGGAGGGGAUGUUGACCAGGGAGCACCACUGUGGCAGAUCAGAGGAGCAGGAACCGGAGCCUGGGCUGAGUCUGAAAACGGCCCGAUCUAGGCAGUGGCUUCAGAAGGGCUGGAAGUGGAAGAUGGAGGGCCCAGAGGAACCUGCAGACAGUGGGCAGUUGCUGCCCCCUGUUUACAUCUACAGUCCCGAAUAUGUCAGCAUGUGUGAUUCCCUGGCCAAAGUCCCCAAACGGGCCAGUAUGGUACAUUCUUUGAUUGAAGCAUAUGGACUGCAUGAGCAAAUGAGAAUAGUUAAGCCCAAAGUGGCCUCCAUGGAGGAAAUGGCCACCUUCCACACCGAUGCCUAUCUGCAGCAUCUCCAGAAGGUCAGCCAAGAAGGAGAUGAUGAUCAUCCAGACUCCAUAGAAUACGGCCUAGGUUAUGACUGUCCAGCUACUGAAGGGAUAUUUGAUUACGCAGCAGCUGUGGGAGGGGCCACAAUCACAGCUGCCCAGUGCCUGGUUGAUGGAAUGUGCAAAGUAGCGAUUAACUGGUCCGGAGGGUGGCAUCAUGCAAAGAAAGAUGAAGCAUCUGGUUUUUGUUAUCUCAAUGAUGUUGUCCUGGGAAUAUUGCGAUUGCGACGGAAAUUUGACCGUAUUCUCUAUGUGGAUUUGGAUCUGCACCAUGGAGAUGGUGUAGAAGAUGCCUUCAGUUUCACCUCCAAAGUCAUGACGGUGUCCCUGCACAAAUUCUCCCCGGGAUUUUUCCCAGGAACAGGUGAUGUGUCUGAUGUUGGCCUAGGGAAGGGACGGUACUACAGUGUGAAUGUGCCCAUUCAAGAUGGCAUACAGGAUGAGAGGUAUUACCACAUCUGUGAAAGUGUACUGAAGGAGGUAUACAUGGCCUUUAAUCCCAAAGCAGUGGUCUUACAGCUGGGAGCUGAUACAAUAGCUGGGGAUCCCAUGUGCUCCUUUAACAUGACUCCAGUGGGAAUUGGCAGAUGUCUUAAGUACAUCCUUCAGUGGCAAUUGGCAACGCUCAUUUUGGGGGGAGGAGGCUAUAACCUUGCCAACACAGCUCGAUGCUGGACAUACUUGACUGGGGUCAUCCUAGGGAAAACUCUAUCCUCUGAGAUCCCAGAUCAUGAGUUUUUCACAGAAUAUGGUCCUGAUUAUGUGCUGGAAAUCACACCAAGCUGCCGGCCAGACCGCAAUGAGCCCCACCGAGUCCAGCAAAUCCUCAACUACAUCAAAGGGAAUCUGAAGCAUGUGGUCUAGUUGACAAAAAGAAAUCAGGUUUCCAGAGCCAAAGGGCAGUGUCUGUAAUGAAGGCAGCGUGUUUAUUCAAGCAGUGUAUGGAAUUUGUGAUUGCAGGGGAAAUUUGGAAGAAAUUACUUCCUGAAAAUUUCCAAGGGGCACCAAGUGGCACCAAGUGCAGCUGGCCUCCUGCAGUGAACGGGCAAGCACCUGGAGACUCAACUAGGCCUAGACAGUGGGAAAUGUCUGGCCCGUGGGCCAUAUGUGGCCUGUGAAAUCAUUUGGUCUGGCCCUGCCAAGCCUCACCCAAGAGAAGCAUUGUUCCAGCCAUCACAUUAGGGGUGAGUUAAUUAAAUGUUUGACCAAAUAUAGUAGGCUGAUAAUUUUGUAUGGCACGUGAGUGAUGUUAUAAAUACCCAAAUGGCCCUUGGCAGAAAAAUGGUUCCCCUCCCGUAGCCUAGAGGAAGAGUGAGAUUUCCAACAUUUAAAGUGUUUAUUUUUUUAAAAAACCCACAAAUGCCAUUUUUAGUCUUUGAAAAUUAUUUUUAAGCAAAUUGGGGAGAGGCAUUUUAUUUUCUUAAAGGAAACAGAUGGAAGCUGGAAGAAAGUAUGGAUGUUUAGUCAUCAGUUUGUGGGGUAGAGGAGAACUGAGAGGUAGGGUUUGGGCUCAGGACCAACCAGGUGGUGCCUUGUUGAAGGGGAAUGAUAAUAGAUUGGGAGGUGGGAAGAAUUCCACCUCUGUUGUUUUUAGGAUUAUUGUUCUAUUUUGUUUUUAAUAAAACCUUUGAAAACCUAAAAAAAAAAA